UACGUAGGGUGCAAGCGUUGUCCGGAAUUAUUGGGCGUAAAGAGCUCGUAGGCGGCCUGUUAAGUCGGACGUGAAAUCCCUCGGCUCAACCGGGGAACUGCGUCCGAUACUGGCGGGCUUGAAUUCGGGAGAGGGAUGUGGAAUUCCAGGUGUAGCGGUGAAAUGCGUAGAUAUCUGGAGGAACACCGGUGGCGAAGGCGGCAUCCUGGACCGACAUUGACGCUGAGGCGCGAAAGCCAGGGGAGCAAACGGG
rnacentral:rRNA from 1 species